GAGUUAGGAUGUAAUGUGUGAGUUAGGAUGUAAUGUUUGAGUUAGGAUGUCUCAAACAUUACAUCCUGACUCAAACAUUACUAGCUGCC
rnacentral:pre_miRNA from 1 species